rnacentral:rRNA from 1 species
CCUACGGGAGGCAGCAGUGAGGAAUAUUGGUCAAUGGCCGGAAGGCUGAACCAGCCAUGCCGCGUGAAGGUCAGUGCCCUAUGGGCGUUAAACUUCUUUUGUGCGGGAGCAAUAAUGGUCACGUGUGGCCAGACGAGAGUACCGUACGAAUAAGCAUCGGCUAACUCCGUGCCAGCAGCCGCGGUAAUACGGGGGAUGCAAGCGUUAUCAGGAGUGAUGGGGUUUAAAGGGUGCGUAGGCUGUGAGGUAAGUCAGCGGUGAAAUGCCCCCGCUCAACGGGGUGAAGUGCCAUGGAUACUGCCUUGCGGGAAUGUGGAUGCGGUGGGAGGAAUGUGUGGUGUAGCGGUGAAAUGCAUAGAUAUCACACAGAACACCGAUUGCGAAGGCAUCUCACGAAUCCGCGAUUGACGCUGAUGCACGAAAGCGUGGGUAUCAAACAGGAUUAGAUACCCGAGUAGUC